AGAGUUUGAUCCUAGCUCAGAACGAACGGUGACGGCGUGCCUACUACAUGCAAGUCGAGCGAACUGGAGGGGCAACUUUCCGGUUAGCGGCAAACGGGUGAGUAAUAUAUAGAUAACCUGCCCUUAAGAGGGGGAUAACAGAUCGAAAGGUCUGCUAAUACCGCGUACGAUUACGCAUGCGCAUGUGAGUGUAAUGAAAAGUGGGGGACCGCAAGGCCUUAUGCUUAAGGAAGGGUCUAUAGCCUAUCAGCUAGUUGGUGAGAUAAAAGCCCACCAAGGCGAUGACGGGUAGCCGGCCUGAGAGGGUGAACGGCCACAUGGACACUGAGACACGGGUCCAACUUCUACUGGAGGCAGCAGUAGGGAAUAUUGGACAAUGGGCGAAAGCCUGAUCCAGCGACGCCGUGUGGAGGAUGACGGCCUUCGGGUUGUAAACUCCUAACACAGACUAAGAAGGUUGGCGGAACGAAUAAUUUUGCCAAUUAGACGCGUCUGGGAUGAAGUCAUGGCUAACUCUGUGCCAGCAGCAGCGGUAAUACAGAGAUGACAACCGUUGUUCGGAAUUACUGGGCUUAAAGCGCAUGCAGGCGGGAUGUUAAGUUGGCUGUAAAAUAUCACGUUUUAAGCGUGGGAAGUCAGCCAAGACUGGCAUUCUUGAGGAUGAUAGGGGAGAGCGGAAUUCCUGGUGGAGCGGUGAAAUGCGUUGAUAUCAGGAGGAACGUCGGAGGCGAAGGCGGCUCUCUAGGUCAAUCCUGACGCUGAGGUGCGAAAGCUAGGGGAGCAAACGGGAUUAGAUACCCCGGUAGUCCUAGCCGUAAACGAUGGGUACUAAGUAGGGGUGGCAACAUCCCUGCCGUAGCAAAAGUGUUAAGUACCCCGCCUGGGGAGUAUAGUCGCAAGGCUGAAACUCAAAGGAAUUGACGGGGGCUCGCACAAGCGGUGGAGCAUGUGGUUUUAUUCGAUGCAACACGAAGAACCUUACCUGGGCUUGACAUGGUAGGAUUAGGCCAGCGAAAGCUGGUUGACAGUUCGAAAGGACCGGAACUAUCACAGGUGUUGCAUGGCUGUCGUCAGUUCGUGCCGUGAGGUGUUGGGUUAAGUCCUAUAACGAGCGAAACCUUUGUCCUUAGUUACCACGGGUAAUGCUGGGGACUCUAAGGAGACUGCAGGCGUCAAGCCUGAGGAAGGUGGAGACGACGUCAAGUCAUCAUGGCCUUUAUGCCCAGGGCUACACACGUGCUACAAUGGUCGGUACAAAGGGAGGCCAAGUCGUAAGGCGGAGCAAAUCCCAUAAAGCCGAUCCCAGUUCAGAUAGAGGGCUGAAACCCGCCCUCAUGAAGUCGGAAUCGCUAGUAAUCGUGGGUCAGCUAUACCACGGUGAAUGUGUUCCCGAGCCUUGUACACACCGCCCGUCAAGCCACCGAAGCAGGGGCAGCCUAAAGUCGCUGACCCAACCAGAAAUGGAGGGAGGCGCCCAAGGAAGCUUCUGUGACGGGGACUAAGUCGUAACAAGGUA
rnacentral:rRNA from 1 species